AUGCACUUGAAGGGAAAGUGAGGAAAAGCAGAGAUGAGCGAGAUGUUGCUGUUUUUGCAGUUCUCUCAAUUGUACCUGCCAGGGAGAGAAAUUCUCAAGGAAAAAGAGAGAAACAUCGGAAGACAAGAAGAAAGAAAAAGGAUACGAGCUUUGUAGUUUUUUUUUUAACUGAGCUAUGGCCAAACACAAGGGUGAGACAUUUCUUUUUCAAGGUGGGCAAGGUUUAAAUGUACUGCUGGUCAAAAGUUUUUUAUACACUCUCACCCCCUUGGCUCCGCCAUUGCGUAAGUUUAAAAAAAAUGUAAUAAAAGUUGUAGUAAAUCAAUCAUCUUUCAAGAUGAUAAUUUAAAGGGAUAGAGCCCUCCUCCUCUCCUCCUCUCCCCCUUCCCCCUCUCCCCCCUCCUAAUCCCCCUCUCCUUCUGUGAGUUUUUUCUUGGUUUUCUUUGUUUUUAUAGGUGUUUUUUGCCAGAAAUUAGCAACUUCGGCUGCUACCACCCGCCCUCCAAGAAAUUAGCAACUUCGGCUGCUACCACCCGCCCUCCAAGGUGCUGCACCUCCCUUCUCCUCCAUCUAUUCCACCACGUGCCAACGCUGCCUAGUGCUUAUCAUCUCCUCCACUCCGGUCGCUGCUAAUUUGCUGGUUGUGUUGCUUGUUUUGUUUGUUUUGAAUAAUAGUUUUUUCUUUAGAUUUGUUCUCAUGAGCGAUUUACGAGGAAAAUGUAGUUUUUCGAGUGUUUUUGGUUGAUGAGGAGUAUAUCUAGUCUUUUCCAGAGCAGAUCUAUGCUUUUAUGGCUGCUGGAGUUGAAUUUUUUCUAUUUUUUGUUGUCUGUAUUUUUGUUUGAAUAAGGAUUGUUCAGACCUUUGGAUUGUGGAUGUGAUC